UACGUAGGGAGCAAGCGUUGUCCGGAAUCAUUGGGCGUAAAGCGCGCGUAGGCGGCCCUGUAAGUCCGUUGUGAAAGUCAAAGGCUCAACCUUUGAAAGCCGAUGGAUACUGCAGGGCUAGAGUCCGGAAGAGGCGAGUGGAAUUCCUGGUGUAGCGGUGGAAUGCGCAGAUAUCAGGAGGAACACCAGUAGCGAAGGCGGCUCGCUGGGCCAUUCCUGACGCUGAGACGCGAAAGCUAGGGGAGCGAACAGG
rnacentral:rRNA from 1 species